rnacentral:lncRNA from 1 species
AUGACUACUGCAAAAGGAUAUCUUUACAGAACCCAGUUCUUUUUUGAAGUUUAUAACUUGGACCCUGUUUUCAGAAAGCAGAAUUCAAUACUUAAAAAUGGACUGGAAAACUGGGCAGCGUGCAUACAGGAAAGCUUGACUGGUGGUCUAAUAAGUUUCUCUCAGCUUUUGACUUCGGUCAUUGGAAUGAUGAUCUGUCUUUCUGGCUCUACAAAUAGAAAGAAUCAAGGUCUCAAAGCUGAAGGGAUUCUGUGAAUAAAGGUGAUUACAGUCAUACUAAGUGAUUUACUAACAAGGAGAUAAAAUGUUAGGAUCAGUGUCCCCAGGCUACUUUCAACUUUUGGCAACAAUAUAAAAAGCCAAAUUAUAAAAAACAAAAACAUAAAUCUAUUUUUCAAUCUAUCUACUUUCUCACUUUGUUACAAUUUAGAAAAUACUUUGGCUCAUCUCAGUGUUAAUAUCAUAUUAAACUCUUAAACAAAACUUCAAACUUCUGCUUGGAAUUUUCUUUAAUGGAAAUUUAUUUUCAUUUCUGGAGUAAUUAAAACAUAAUUUAGCAUAUGAUAUUUGGAAAUGAUCUUUUUAAAAAUAAUUUCAUGAGUUUUAAUCAAUAUCACCUGGAAAUUUUAGUCUAUAAAAUUAGACACACAUUUUAUUAUUUAGGCAUUUUGGUCAACUUCCUAUACUAUUUAGUCUUUAGGAUUGUCAUGGGUACCAAAAAACAUUCAUAAUUUUGGACUGACUUCUCUAAGACAUGGUCAGUUUGAGGCCAACUUUCUCAUUUUCUUUCAUUCAUUCAUAGCUGCUCUGAGUCUAGGUUUAUUCAAAAAGAAAUUUCUGACUCUUUAAAGACUUUAAAAGUAACUCAUAUUUAAAAAACUAAUUCUGUUAAAGGAUUAUAGAUUACCUCAAACCACAAGUAAAUGGCUAUAAUCCCCAACUACUUUGUUAAAUAUUGAGUUUCUGACAUUUUGUUCUUUUCAUCCUUGCUAGGUGACAUAUGUGUAUGCCGUCUUAUGGGUUGUGUCAUCUUUUAGUUAUUUUUCCUCCCUUAUACCAUGUCUCCAGUCAGAUUUUUUUUUUAAUUUCCUGCUCACUUCCUUCUUUCACCAGGAUCUUUUCAUAGACUUAAUCACUUUGAAUAUACUAUUCAAAGUGUAUUGAAUUGAUGUAAUUUAAAAAUACAUAUUCUGUAAAUAUUCUAAGAUUAAAAUAUUAGUAAGACACAAAUUGAACUACCAAACGUUUUGGAUAGUUUAUAGUUCUAUUAUUAUGAAAAAGCUUAUUAACAUUAUAAACUUGAAAUCCUCAGUUUGUUUUGAUAAUUUAGUAACCCAACAUAGGAUAAAGUUCUCUGUAUUUGCCCUAUAACGUUCUUGUUUAAAUAUUUUUAUAGAUGUUUUCUUCUUGGGAACAGUAAUUCAAUAAGCUUUUUGAAGCAUGAGCAUGUUGAAAAACAUAAUUCUGUAAUUUGAAUUGUAUUAGGUUUACAUUUUUGUUUCUCAUUUUUUGCAAACUUUAUUUUUAAAUAUUUUAUUUAUUUAUUCAUAAAAGACAGAGAAGGAGGGCAGAGACACAGGCAGCAGGAGAAAUAGGCUCCAUGCAGGGAGCCCAAUGCAAGACUUGAUCCUGGCACUCCAGGAUCAAGCCCUGAGUCAAAGGCAGAUGCUUAACUGCUGAACCAUCCAGGCAUCCCUAUUUAUUUUUUAACAAUUCUGUAAAAUAACUUUUGGAUUGGUGCAUAAUAAAGGUAGUGAAGUUAAAACUGAAGAUUUUUGUGUUUGAAAUGAC